GUAAUUCUUUACAGAUUAAAUCACAAUGUGAAUACAGACCCCAGCAAUGCCGAAUUUAACUCUGAGUUCAGUAGAAUCCAGGAUCCAUUGAAUUUCUCCUACCCCUCCAUCUAGUCGUGUGUGUUUUUCUCUUCCACCACACUGGAGCUCCGUGAAUAGGGAAGGGGCUUCCAUUGUGUCCCACUGAACUUCCAAGUCAAUGCAAUUUUUAACCACUGGCUUGUGGUACUUUGAAAAUCACCAGGGGCUGUCAGAGUUGGGUCCUCUGAAAAAUUUACAGUGCUAAAUCAGAGCAUAUGCUGGGAGGGGAAAAAAUUGCUUAAGAUUGGAGCAAGUACAGUAUCCGUCUGCCCCCUAGUGUAAGAGUCCUCGCUGCCUAAAAUCCAACUUUAUAAGAAAAGGAGCCCUUAAAGGGAAACGACUUGGGGCUCACGUAGGCAUAGGAGAAUGAAACUUCUGUACAUUUUAAUCUGAAUAAUUCUUCAGGAUUUAAAAUUAUUUGGCUGUGGCUUGGUUGGACUGCACUGGAAUCUCGCCGCCUCUACGUUUCUCGAGUCACUGGUGAAGAGGUGAUUUUUUUUUUUUUGUGAACUGGGUUUAUGUGCGUCCCCCUCACCCCUCCUCUCUUUUUCUUUCUGCCUCUGUCGUCUCUCUCGCUGGCUUUUUAAAAAUGAGGAACCGUUCCAUGAACAUUUUGCACACAGCACAGAAUUGCUUCUAAAGUCAGCCCGGCGCGGUUGCAAUAGACAGCAAAAAGGUAAACCGUUUGCCUGAAAUCCGCACGCCAGCUCCACCACCCCGCCCGAUGAAGUGAAGAAGCAUGAAGAAUAAAAAAUAUCCCUCCCAGAAGAGCUGACUGCCAACUGUAGCGGGGUUGAGGAGACAGGCCCAGUUUCGCCUGUGAUGAGAAUGUCUGUGUGCAUGAUUUUAAGCCAGAUCACCCCAAAUACCACUGGUAGACUGAUAAAUUGGAAAUAACCACAGGCAUGGUGGUGCACACCUUCAAUUCCAGCAUUCAAGAGGCAGAGACAGGCGGAUCUCUGGUCUCUCUGGUUUGUGUACUGCAUGUGUACACUACUGGCCUGAUGUCUGAGUGAAUCUCCUUCCUCUGUUGUCCAUCUCCCUCUACGACUGCUUGGAGUACAGGUUCUAUAACAGAAUCGAGAAGGUGUGGACACCUACCUGUGGGCUGAGGCUUGGGAGACAUUGUUUCAGGUUCCUGCUGAAGCCAGAGUUCUGGAGACAGACAGCCGUUCAAGGAAAUGAAGGCCAUAGGAAGAUGCACUUAAAAAUACGUGCUUGGAAGAAAACUGUCGAAAGUGUCAUCUACCGCGUGGGCGUCUCUGCGCCGUCCUUCCCUUCUGUAAACACCAACUGAAGCUGCGACCUGGGAGUUCCUGAGUACCCUCCGACAAACUCACCUGCUGCCCGGUAUGGGAGGAGCUUUUCUGUGGAAGCAGAGGCCACAGGCUCUGGAGAAGAUUUGCCAAAAAGACUUAAUUCUAAGGAAGCCAGUGAUCUCAUAAGAAUGAUCAACAGUGUAAAUCAAGUAAAAAA